UACAGAGGGUGCAAGCGUUAAUCGGAAUUACUGGGCGUAAAGCGCAUGUAGGUGGUUUAAAAAGUUUGAUGUAAAAGCCCCGGGCUUAACCUGGGAAUGGCAUUGAAAACUGGUAGACUUGAGUCGGAUAGAGGGCAGUGGAAUUUCCGGUGUAGCGGUGAAAUGCGUAGAGAUCGGAAAGAACAUCAGUGGCGAAGGCGUCUGCCUGGAUCCAGACUGACACUUAAGUGCGAAAGCGUGGGGAGCAAACAGG
rnacentral:rRNA from 1 species